CCUACGGGGGGCAGCAGUGAGGAAUAUUGGUCAAUGGGCGCGAGCCUGAACCAGCCAAGUAGCGUGAAGGAUGACUGCCCUACGGGUUGUAAACUUCUUUUAUAAAGGAAUAAAGUGCGGCACGUGUGCCUUUUUGUAUGUACUUUAUGAAUAAGGAUCGGCUAACUCCGUGCCAGCAGCCGCGGUAAUACGGAGGAUCCGAGCGUUAGCCGGAUUGAGUGGGUUUAAAGGGAGCGUAGAUGGGUGGUUGAGUCAGUUGUGAAAGUUUGCGGCUCAACCGUAAAAUUGCAAUUGAUACUGGCAGCCUUGAGUACAGUUGAGGUAGGCGGAAUUCGUGGGGUAGCGGUGAAAUGCUUAGAUAUCACGAAGAACUCCGAUUGCGAAGGCAGCUUACUAAACUGCGACUGACAUUGAUGCUCGAAAGUGUGGGUAUCAAACAGGAUUAGAUACCCGGGUAGUC
rnacentral:rRNA from 1 species